rnacentral:rRNA from 1 species
AUACGGAGGGUGCAAGCGUUAUUCGGAAUCACUGGGCGUAAAGGACGCGUAGGCGGGUUGGCAAGUCAGAUGUGAAAUCCUACAGCUUAACUGUAGAACUGCAUUUGAAACUGCUAACCUAGAGUAUGGGAGGGGGAGAUGGAAUUAGUGGUGUAGGGGUAAAAUCCGUAGAUAUCACUAGGAAUACCGAAAGCGAAGGCGAUCUCCUGGAACAUAACUGACGCUAAGGCGUGAAAGCGUAGGGAGCAAACAGGAUUAGAAACCCUAGUAGUCC